GUAGACAUGAAGGAGAAAGAAAAGGAUAAGGGAGAAGAAAGAAAGGACAGAGAGAAAAAAAUGAACAAUCAGAGUAAAGGCAGCAAGCAUUCUCUAACUCCUGACCGCGAGUGAUCCUCCUGCCUCAACCUCCCAAAGGGCUGGGACUACAGGCGUGAGCCACUGCGCAGGGCCUCAACCAGCGUUCUCUAGAGCGGUGGAUCCCAAAUGCCAUCUGAGGACCAGCAACAGCAGCAGCAUCCGGUUAAUGGAGUCAUGGUGACACUGAAAAUUCUUCCUGUGUUGGCAUCUGACAGAGGAUUUGAAACCGAAUGCUGAACUCAUGUUAGGAAAGUGAAGCAGCAGGUUCUCUGGAGAGAGAUGGUCUCUGCAUAGCAGAAAUGGAGUUCCCCCAAGUGAAGCGAGUCUGGCCGCUGGGGCGCUGGCUUCCUCACUGAGACACCAGAGAGGGAGCCUUCUUCCACAUUGUCAUCUGAAGAUUUCUCAUCAUUAGACUCUCUCAGCGCACCCAGAAUGGGACAUGGUGGGUCUGCAGAAAAGGAAACAGUGUUUCCAGAUCCUUCUAGACACACGCUUAGUGCAUUAAAGGAAAAUCAUUCGCAGUCUAAAUGGGUGGUUUUCCUAGGAUAAUGUGUUGGAGGGCUCUGAACCCCAGAAGCUUCACACCUAGAGCUCUUCAGAUCUACCCUUGGUCAUUGACAUCCCAGCAUGAAUCAGUGACUCAGUCCUUCCAGAUGGAUGCAGGAGGAGUCGGAGCUGGAGGAAAAGGCGAUGUGAUGACAGAAGCAGAAAUUGGAGCGAUGCACUUUGAGAUGGAGGAAGAGGCCACAAGCCAAGGAAUGCAGGUGCCUCUAGAAUCUGAU
rnacentral:lncRNA from 1 species